UGAGAGGGGAAAAAGAUGAGUAGCUGACAAACCCAUAUUCGAGGAAACAAGAAUAGGCUAGUGAGAAUCCCAUAGAGGAAAUGGCUUGUCUGAAUUGAGUUCCAGAAUGAUGAUCCAACUCGAAAGAAGAAGAAUAUAAUGAUGCUAUGUAGUGAUGAUCUGAGUUGGCUCAUAGGAAAAGAGAAAUAAAAUCAUGGCUUGAGGUGCCUGUAAAUGUAACCAUAUCAAUAGCAAGGGGCCUACAUAGUGCAAAAAAAAUAUGAGAACAGCACAUGCUGUGAAAACCUUAUUGACAAGUUGCUGAUGUAGGUGUCGUGUAGGGAGUGUCCACAUUGUAUAGCAUGAUUGGCAGUGAAGUUCCAUGUGCAGCAAUGCAAAUGCAAAUAUGAGAAGAGCACGUGCUGUGAAAACCUUAUUGACAAGUUGCUGAUGUAGGCAUCAUAUAGCGAGUGUCCACAUUGGAUAGCAUGAUUGGCAGUGAAGUUCCAUGUGCAGCAAUGCAAAUGUGUGCCGGAUACUUGGAGGCCAUGAUAAAUUGAAAGGAAGCUCAAUGGACCCAAACGUCCCAGACUAUGAGUGUAACAACCCAGAACCUCACCCAAAAAGGCUAGCCGGAAGGUAUUUUUUGG
rnacentral:lncRNA from 1 species